AUCCCAAAACCCAGCCAUU
rnacentral:snRNA from 1 species